CGACUGUGUGAGAGCAGGGCGGCGUCGUGUUGCCGUGGCUCGCAGGGCCCUCGUGCCUCGUGGCUCGAAGUCCGUGCCCUCCCUGGCCCUGUCAUCCCACACAAAGGGCCUGUCCCAUAAUCCCAUGACUGUGGGAACUCGUCCCCAGGUCCUCCAAACUGGGGCGACAUGGUACAGACUCCGGAAAUGGUGACGUCAGGUACAGAACAAUGUUUUGUGAAAUGGAGACACCACUGUC